rnacentral:lncRNA from 1 species
UUCUUUGACAGGUAUGGAGGUGGUGCCAACUUUAUCCAUGAUGGUUACAACAAAGGUACAGCUUUAGGUGCUGAGAUUGUUGGUACCUUUGUUCUUGUCUACACUGUCUUCUCUGCAACUGAUCCUAAGAGAAACGCUAGGGACUCUCAUGUUCCUGUGAGUAUUUUUCUAUAUAAAAAAAUAUAUAUAAAUUCAUUCUUCACUUUUAUUUCUAAGUAUAACUAACUUGAUGAAAUGAUGAACAGGUUUUGGCACCAUUACCUAUUGGGUUUGCUGUUUUCAUGGUUCACUUGGCUACUAUUCCGAUCACCGGUACCGGUAUUAACCCGGCAAGAAGUUUCGGAUCCGCUGUGAUCUUAAACCAGGGGAAAAUUUGGGAUGAUCAGUGGGUUUUCUGGGUUGGACCAAUAAUUGGAGCAACCGUGGCUGCAAUUUACCACCAAUACAUUCUAAGAGGGUCAGCAAUUAAAGCUCUUGGAUCAUUCAGGAGCAACACUUAAUUGAUUAAUUAAUUAAGCUAGCUAAAUUG